AGAAAAACAAUGGAAAUCAUAAAUAAAUGCUCCGUUAAGUAACCUGUAAAUCUUAAAUCGCGACAAUACCUACUUAAAUUAUUUCGGAUUUCCUAUAAAAAAGACACAACACAAACACAACUCAAUAAAACUCUAUGAUCAUAAUGGCAGUGCAUUAGUUAAUGAUAUAUCUGAUGCAAGUUCUUCUUAAAUUCAAAUUGAAACUAAUAAUUUAAAAAAUGAAUCAAAACUGUCAAAUGUACAAUUAACAUUAUAAGAAAGUUUAUCCAUGCAAAAAAAAAAGUAUAUAAUAUAGAAUCUAAAAACAAUACAACACAAGCGGAGUUGGCUAGAACGAUUCAAGAGUUGAUCAUUAACCAGUGUUUGCCAUUUUCGUUAUUAGAAUAUCCUGAAUUUAAAUCUAUUUUACAAAUAGGAUAUUUUAAGUUAAACAUAUGAGCCAUGUCUUACAUUAAUGAAAAGGAUAAAUUCUAAUGUAUUCCAUGUUAACAAAUUUUAAAAAGGAAUUAAGUUUGGUCAAACAUAUUUCUACUACAGCUGAUUGUUGGUCAAUUUUCAAAAAAUCCUAUAUUGGUAUUGUAACUAUGCAUUGGUUAAACAAAAAUGAUUUACCUAAGAGUUUCGUGUCUACUUGCAAUGAAACGUUUAAAAGAAAAGCAUUCAUAUGAUGUUUUAGCAAAAUCUAUGGAGUCAGUUUAUACAGAAUUGGACAUCAAUCACAAAAUUACUAAUUCAACAACAGACAAUGGUUCUAAUUGUGUUAAAAGUUUCAAAGUAUACAAUAAAAAUUAUGAUCAAAAUAUUUUCAAUUUGAAUUCUUCUGUUAUUAUUGAUGAUUGUUCUAAUGAUGAAUUUGAACUGCAAGUUUCAAAUGAUGAAAAUAUUUUACAAGAAAAUGA